UGUCUCAGACAGUAAAGAAUCUGCCUGCAAUGCAGAAUACCCAGGUUCAAUCCCUGG
rfam:Ovis aries breed Texel chromosome 8, whole genome shotgun sequence.